GACGAACGCUGGCGGCGUGCUCAACACAUGCAAGUCGAACGGAAAGGCCCUGCUUUUGUGGGGUGCUCGAGUGGCGAACGGGUGAGUAACACGUGAGUAACCUGCCCUUGACUUUGGGAUAACUUCAGGAAACUGGGGCUAAUACCGGAUAGGAGCUCCUGCUGCAUGGUGGGGGUUGGAAAGUUUCGGCGGUUGGGGAUGGACUCGCGGCUUAUCAGCUUGUUGGUGGGGUAGUGGCUUACCAAGGCUUUGACGGGUAGCCGGCCUGAGAGGGUGACCGGCCACAUUGGGACUGAGAUACGGCCCAGACUCCUACGGGAGGCAGCAGUGGGGAAUAUUGCACAAUGGGCGGAAGCCUGAUGCAGCAACGCCGCGUGCGGGAUGACGGCCUUCGGGUUGUAAACCGCUUUCGCCUGUGACGAAGCGUGAGUGACGGUAAUGGGUAAAGAAGCACCAGCUAACUACGUG
rnacentral:rRNA from 1 species